ensembl:lncRNA
GUGGAUGCCGGGGAAGUGACUGCCUGUGGGCACCAAUAAAAGUCCUCCCUUGACCUCUGUGCUGCUAAUUAUCAAGGCACUGGUUGGCCCACUCAGAGAGAGAAAUUUGCUUUGGGCCAAGUUUUCUUUCAGCAGAGCCCAGAGAAGGGCUGGAGGCCUGACCAGUGGGGCCGAAGCCAAAAUUGCUAUAUCCGGAAGAUCUACCAUCAGACCCAGAACAGCCUCAUCCCUGAGUCACACUUUCCUGCCACCUCGGUGUACCUCCCAGCACUCAUGUAUUCUGCACAGGGCUGUUUUUUCAUCUUAAACCAGCGGACAAGUAAGACUCGGGAUUUUUCCCUUCCCUGCUCGGUGAACUCCUAUCUGCUCAUCAAAACCCAAGCCAAACUACCCAAGCUAAAGCGGUUGCCCCUCUAUUACCAAAUUUUACGUUUCUGGAACUCUUCCCCGAGACAUUGUAAGCCUAUCAACAUGGACUUUUGCUUAUUUAUGACCACAUUCUCCCAUCCAAGUAUUAACCAGGCCUGACCCUGCCUAGCUUCUGAGAUCAGACGAGAUCAGACGCAUUCAGGGUGGUAUGGCCAUAGACUACGGCCACAUUUUAAAUGCUGAAUAAGUGAUAAUUGAGAAGAUGACCCAACACAGCAAGGACAAUCCAUGCUUCCUGGCUUCAAGAGCCUGAUUACAUCACUCAUUCCUCCCCCCAUAAGCCAGGCGUCUGCUCAGCUGAGAGGGCAGGAUGUUCCUGUUUGGCAGGGACAGUUCCAGGUUUUGAUGACCUGCCUCAACCAGAUCGAUAGCUAUUCCAAGUUAUUGUUUAUGUAUGUUCCGUGGGGGCCAAGGGGAAUGGUUACAUAAGCCAGUGAGACCACAUUCACCUGCAGCAGCUCUCUCUUCCUGGUGCCGUGGUCGCCUGGCUCCAUUUAGCCUUCUUCGAAGCAGGCACUAUUCUCUCUACUUAAAAGAAAUUCAAGGCUCAGAGUGAGAACACUGGUACAGAAGAAACGCUUGCCCCUCGGUCUAAUCCCAGAGCCUGAAGGAACUCUUUCCAAGAAUCCACAUUUGUGUAUUUCAUGGACGUUUCUGGAGGGAAGCCCCUCCUGAAGAAGGAGACAAACUUCACCCCCCAGAACAGCAGGUACAAAACUAAAACUCUAAAAAAAAGGGUGAGACACAAAUCUCAAACUCCACUCUCAGCCCCUUCCUUCCCUGAGCCUUUAACCAGAAUGGCUGCAGAAUGAGAACCCACAGCCAGGAGAAGAUUCCAGGAGGCCAGCCUGAAACCCACACCUCCCAGGCCAAGGUGAUGAGGGGCUGAAAGUAUUGGGAAGGGCUCAGAUUGUGUCCGAUUAAAAGCACGGGCCUGCAAGAAGCCAAGUGUCCCUAGCCUCAAAUUCUAGCUCCUCUGUCUACUGGGGGAUGGCCGUCCCUUAACUUCACGGUGUCUCCGUUUCCUCCACUGUAAAAGGAGGUGGCAGCAGUAGCUCUCUGGUGGGUGCUGCGAGAGUGUAGUCACAUCAUGCCCAGAGAGUGCUUGCUGCAGCAGACCACAUCCUUAGAGCUGGGCUAGGAGGCUGCAGUGCUGUGGAGGCAAAGGAGUGGGUGGGAGACAGGUUUCAACUGAGCACUGCUCCUCUGUGAACUUAAGCCAGUGCCUUAAAGCCCUCUGGCUCCAGGGCUCACCUCUCAGAUGGAUUAUCCUUUGCAGCUCUGCCCUAAGCCUUGCUUGGAAGUCACACGUAAGGGAAAUGCCUUGCACGCGUAAACUGCUCCGAAUUCACCAACCCUUUCCUUCUCUUCCCUGGAAUACAAAAUGUCCUCCAGAAAACAUCUGACCUCCAGCUUUGGUUUAUUAUCAAGAGGGAUACAUGGCUUCAUAUGCACCAUGCCAGACACAGUAAUAAAUGUCCCUUUCCUUGAGGAGGUAAAAGG